GUAACAUUGGUGCUUGCACCAGAUGACGAGUGGCGCACGGGUGCGUAACGCGUAUGCAAUCUACCUUUUACUAGAGUAUAGCCCAGAGAAAUUUGGAUUAAUCCUCUAUAAUAUCUUUUAAUUUCAUGAUUUUAAGAUUAAAGUUUUAACGGUAAAAGAUGAGCAUGCGUCCUAUUAGUUUGUAGGUGAGGUAACGGCUCACCUAGACUACGAUAGGUAGGGGCCCUGAGAGGGGGAUCCCCCACACUGGUACUGAGACACGGACCAGACUCCUACGGGAGGCAGCAGUAAGGAAUAUUGGACAAUGGACGAAAGUCUGAUCCAGCCAUGCCGCGUGCAGGAUGAAAGCCCUACGGGUUGUAAACUGCUUUUAUACAGGAAGAAACACUCCGACGUGUCGGAGCUUGACGGUACUGUAAGAAUAAGGAUCGGCUAACUCCGUGCCAGCAGCCGCGGUAAUACGGAGGAUCCAAGCGUUAUCCGGAAUCAUUGGGUUUAAAGGGUCCGCAGGCUGUUUUUUAAGUCAGAGGUGAAAUCCUACAGCUCAACUGUAGAACUGCCUUUGAUACUGAAAAACUUGAGUUAUUGUGAAGUGGUUAGAAUGUGUGGUGUAGCGGUGAAAUGCAUAGAUAUCACACAGAAUACCGAUUGCGAAGGCAGAUCACUAACAAUAUACUGACGCUCAUGGACGAAAGCGUGGGGAGCGAACAGGAUUAGAUACCCUAGUAGUCCACGCCGUAAACGAUGGAUACUAGCUGUUCGUCUAACAUUGGUUAGAUGAGUGGCUAAGCGAAAGUGAUAAGUAUCCCACCUGGGGAGUACGGUCGCAAGACUGAAACUCAAAGGAAUUGACGGGGGCCCGCACAAGCGGUGGAGCAUGUGGUUUAAUUCGAUGAUACGCGAGGAACCUUACCAGGGCUUAAAUGUAGUGGGACAGGUCUAGAGAUAGACCCUUCUUCGGACUCAUUACAAGGUGCUGCAUG
rnacentral:rRNA from 1 species